rnacentral:rRNA from 1 species
UGAGGAAUUUUCCACAAUGGGCGCAAGCCUGAUGGAGCAAUACCGCGUGGGGGAUGACGGCCUUCGGGUUGUAAACUCCUUUUAAAUAGGAAGAUUAUGACGGUACUAUUUGAAUAAGCAUCGGCUAACUACGUGCCAGCAGCCGCGGUAAUACGUAGGAUGCAAGCGUUAUCCGGAAUUACUGGGCGUAAAGCGUGUGUAGGUGGUACGUUAAGUUAAAUGUUAAAUCCUCAGGCUCAACUUGAGGGCCGCAUUUAAUACUGGCGAACUUGAGGAUGGUAGAGGUAAAUAGAAUUAGCGGUGUAGCGGUAAUAUGCGUAGAUAUCGCUAGGAAUACCAAUGGCGAAGGCAGUUUACUGGUCCAUUCCUGACACUGAGACACGAAAGCGUGGGGAGCGAACAGG